CCUACCAACAUGGCGGCCCCCGUAUGCUAACGUGAGCGUGACUGUUUCUGCUACUACGAGGCAAAACAGCUUUAUUAAAAAGGAACAAACCAAAAAAAAUCACCGACGGAGUUCUAAGUAACAACCAAGGUGUCACCGGGAGGAGAGACACUUAUUCCAGUGAGAUUUAUUUGGCGACGGUAACCAGCUAAUGUUGUGGCGGGGACAUUUUGUCGAUAUACGAUAACAUGUUGACAGGAUAGCCCGGUGCCAAGAAACAGGUGUUGCAUCCCUAUGAUAGUGCGGGCUGUUCGUCUCUUCCCACUUAUCAUCACCCCUCGUCUGCUCCCGCCCCCUGCGGCACUUCGGUGGUGUGCUGGCAGCUCCAUGGAACCCCUGAAAACAGCUAUUCAGGAUCCUGACUUUACCGUCGCCAAGCCAGCGGUGGUUGAGAAGCAGGAGGAGUCUCCUCCCGUUGGGCUCCUGCCUGGAGAGACAGUGGUGAGGGAGGGGAAGGCAGCCAUCUUGUUCCCCAAUGCCAACGAGGUGUUUUACAACCCUGUCCAGGAGUUUAAUCGCGAUUUAACAUGUGCGGUGAUCACAGAGUUCUCCAGAGAAGUGCUGGCUCAGCGCGGUGUGAAGGUUCUGGUGCCCGGUGAAAAGGAGCGAGUGGUGGUGUCACUGUCAGAUGACCCCAGCGAGGCUGACACGCAGGGCGAGAAGACCGACACUGAGGAGACGGGCAUUGUCACGGCAACGGUGGGCCAGAAAUGCGAGCGUGGGCUUCGCGUGCUUGAGGGUUUGGCGGCAUCUGGUCUGCGCUCGGUGCGUUUCGCACUAGAAGUGCCGGGCCUUCGGAGCGUCACCGCCAAUGACUUCUCCCGCAAAGCCGCUGUCCUCAUCGCCAGGAACGCCGAGUACAACAAGGUGGGCGAGCUUCUCCAAGCCAGCUGCAAGGACGCCAGCAUGCUUAUGUAUGAGAUGCGAGGGAGGAACGAUCGCUACGACGUCAUCGAUCUCGAUCCCUACGGCAGCCCAGCUUCAUUUCUGGAUGCCGCAGUACAGUCUGUCAGCGAGGGAGGCCUGUUAUGCAUCACGUGCACAGACAUGGCGGUGUUAGCGGGGAACAGCGGCGAGACAUGCUACAGCAAAUAUGGCUCCGUUUCUAUCAAAGCCAAAUAUUGUCACGAGCUGGCUCUGCGCAUCAUCCUCCACAGUUUGGACCAGCGGGCCAACGUGUACCAACGAUACGUUCAGCCGCUGCUGUCUGUCAGCGUGGACUUUUACAUUCGGGUAUUUGUGCGCGUCUUCACAGGACAGGCCACUGUCAAGAACUCAGCCAGCAAACAGGCUCUAGUCUACAACUGCGUUGGCUGCGGGUCGUUCCACUUGCAGAGGAUGGGCAGGAGGACCAACAAUGGGAAACAUACAAAGUACUCUGCAGCCACUGGACCACCGGUGGGACCAGCAUGUGAGCACUGUGGACAGAGACAUCAGCUGGGCGGUCCGAUCUGGGCAGAACCCAUCCAUGACCAAGGUUUCGUCCAGAAGGUUCUGACCGCCAUUUCUGGCAACCCAUCUCGCUUUGGGACGUCCAAGCGUAUCGAGGGGAUACUGAGCAUGGUGACUGAGGAGCUGGAGGACACGCCCCUUUACUAUACAGUUGACAGUCUGAGCAGCACCAUCCACUGCAAUACACCACCUCUGCUACAGUUUAGGUCUGCUCUGCUGCACGCCGGUCACAGAGUUUCCCUCUCACACGCCUGCAAAAACGCCAUCAAGACGGACGCGCCGCCUGCCGCCAUCUGGGACAUCAUGCGUUGCUGGGAGAAGAGCAACCCGGUGAAACGGGAGAAACUCUCUGAGAUGACGCCUGCCUUCAAAAUUCUGUCCACUGAGUCCAGCUUUGAAGCAUGUUUCACCGUGCGCGACGACGCCAACCCUCAGUCCCGUCAGCGCCACCUGACCCGCUUCCAGGAGAACCCGCAGGCCUUCUGGGGACCCAAAGCCCGAGCAAAAACUGGUGGCGGUAUCGCCGACAACCUUCAGCAGAGACGCAUGAAGAACCAGAACAAGCGCAAGAACCAGAUCACAGACUCGACUCAGCUCAAGAGCUUCCCCUGCAAAAAGUUCAAACAGGGCACUUGCACACAUGGCGACAAAUGCUCGUACUCGCACGAACCCGAGUACACCACUGAGGAGAAAAUGGAAUGACUUGGACUUUUUUUUUGUUUUUUGUUAAGUUAUUGUAAAGGAGCGGGAAAGUCAGCUGAGUUUCAAAAUCAGACAAGCAUUUUUUUUUUAAAGCUAUUUUUUGGCGGGGGGGGGGCUAUUUUAAUGGCCCAAUAAAGCCUGAUUUAUAAUUUGAAAUUAUUUCAUAUCGUGGUAAUUUUUUGGAAAUGCAGUACACUCAUGGGACACUUCAUUAGGUACCAUUCUGCAAUAAAAUGGAAAGAUUCUGCCUUUACUAAAAUAAUGCUCAGUUUGCAUUCACGUACAGAGGUAUUGAUUUAACAAUGGUGGUUAUUAUUAUUAUUUUUUUAAACCUUGUUUGAUUAUAAUUUCAUUGGAAGAAUAAAGGUUGCAUGUUUGGUUCUCAUUUGAUUGUGCAGGUGUUCCUAAUGGUGUCUAGUGAGUUUACUGUAUAGCCGGCAACUAACCCAUUGCUUUCAACACUGACAUGUAGGCUUAAGUUGAAUAUGUUGGACAAGUAAGUGAUUGACUUUUAUUCUCCACUGCAUUUUUGUAUCACUAUAAAAUUAAUAUAAAAAAAAAUUAUCACAUCAGAUUAAAAAAAAGGUAGCUCAUCCCACUUUUCUUCCAAUGUCUCAGGAGGUUUUGUGGUGGUGGAGUUUUUCCCAGUUUCAAGGCUCAGGAGUCGCUAGAGAAUGGCUGCCACCUCUUCAUCCUCAACAUUGAUCAAAGGCAAAAUGGAGGCGACUUUUCCGGAGCGUGUGAUUGGUUAUCUGAGUCUAGUAUUGGGGUGCAGGUCACCCUCGGUGAAGGUCAGCAGGGGCUGCAGAACCAUCUCCUCUGCCAGGGGACGGUGCGCGUCAGCGGCACUGGCUGGGCGGUCCAGGGACAGAAGCAGCCGGCCACGGACCACCAGACCAUCCGGGAAGACGUCGGAGGUCUCGUUGAGGGGCUCGGCCACACCGCGGACGUCGUCGUACAGCAGCCGGCGAUGGAGCUGUUGGGGGUCGUCGCUGAAAGAAAUAAAUAUUAUGUGAUUUAGUGGAUCUUCCCAUGGACCCAAAUCUCAAGCACCCCUUACUCGAUGGGAAUCGGGCCCACGGUCCACUCCAGCUCCAGAACCUGACUGUCGGCGUGGAGACGAACCACCUGAGACACCCAUGGUGCGAACCACUGCCUCACCUCCUGCAUCACCGACGUCUGAGGAGGGUAAGAACACACUAGUAAGACUAUCAACCUGAGGUAUGUUUACUGUUUUAUGAAGUCAUUGAACACCAUGCUCCACCAAUACAAAAUGAUAAAAAUAAAAUUAUUUCACAAAUUACUGCCAGCAAUCUCUCUAGUUAUGUGGUGUAAAUUUGGUAGCAAUCGGAGAAAAUUUUCAAGGAAGAAUUUUCCCUUGAAGGAUGCCUGGAAAAAUGGCCAAAUUGACCCUAAAUUGGCCACCUCAAACCAAAAUUGGUACAUGUCAUGUGUUCAUGAAAAAUUUUUUGUGAGUCUACUCUUGAUAGACAUGUCAUGUCAUGUUGCUAAGUGACACUGGCUUCUGGGGCUCAAUUUUCAAAAAGUGUUACAAUCCGUACUCGUAUACUCUCCGUCUUGGCCGUCUUGCUGAUGACAAAUGGCGUGGAGGAGUUAGGUCUGAAAAUGUACGCCCCUGAGGGCUGGUUGCUCUUUGAGUUGUUGCCAUCGCUAGCGUUGUACCUAGAAGCAUUUAAGACACAAAUAUUAACAAACUUAAGUAAAUUGAUGAUGAUAAGUUUUGAGACUAACCAGUAGAAGUUCUGUGUCAGGCUGAUGCUCUGCUUGGUCUCCAAGUUUUCCAGGCUGCUCAGAAGCCCCGUCUCUGGGUCAAAGGUCACUCGUAGGUACUGUAGAAAUCAGAAAACAAAUGUUGUUUUGGAUGGAUUUACCAGCACGCAGCAGUGUUGUGAACUGGAGUCCUGCAUCGAGUACCCGAGAGGUGGCCCGCAAAAUAAGAUGGAUUUGGGAGUGCGGUAGUGUGUGGAGGCCGGUGGAGGCCCAUCCUGGAGCAGGGACACUGAGUAGGUCCUGAAGCCCAGUGGCGGGGCCCAGGCCUGGAAGAGGAGCUCGUUGACAGCGAAGCCACGGUUCCUCCUCAUGUCACGUGUGCUCUGGGAAACUGGAACCACCUCGCAGUCCACAGACUUGCCCUCAGCGUCAGACACCGUAUACGCUGUACCGUUGACCGGAAGCCUGAUGGGCCAUGAGACGGGCCGAGCGAGAGGGUUGAAGAUGUUGAUGGAGAACUGGAGGAGGAAGUUGUUCAUUAGGAACUUUGACGGCGCAUCCUGCCUGUUGUGCCUGGUCAACUUCAUCCCCCUCAUGACGUGUUGGUGCCUUUCACACAGAACAGCGAGCCACGAACAAGUGUGAAGUCCAAAGUACCUGGCAAUGCUGCCAGCCUUUGGCAAGUCUCCUGGCGUAGUCGUUGGCGACAUGCUGCUUCUCGGUGCCUGACACGGCAUCGUGGUGCUGAGCUACCGCCAUUGCUCUCUCUGGACCAGGCAGAACGUCUGGUCAGAUUCCGUGGAAUCAUUGGGGUAAUCAUUUGUAACUUACUCAAGGUGAGACUGUUGCCCUCGCCGAAGAGUCCCCUCGUAGAAGUCCGGCCGCCGAGAACCUCCAGCUGCUUACACGUCUAAAAAAGGUUUUGCUGUUUUGUUUUCUGGAGUUUACAGUUUCUGAACCAGAUCCAAUUCACCUGCAGGUUGCUGUUGCUGAGCCUCUCGUAACGUUUUAGCGCCGGUCUGCUGCUGAAGUAGCCCGUCCAGAAGUCGUGGGCAUCGUCCGCAUAUGGGAAGAAGUCAUCAGUCUUCAGGACCCUGUGUGCGAGACCCAGAACGCUUCUACAAUGUCCCCACUUGUGGACUUGCAUUUGGAUCGUACCAGGAGAGGUUGGCCCGGUGCAGUUCUUGGAGGUAACAAGAGGGCGUGGAGUAGAGGACAUUGACUCUGCUUCCAUUGGACUGCCGAGCGUUGACGUAAUGGAUCAGCUUGUCCAGGUUCUUGUACCACAGGUUGGCAUUCUCGUACUGGAAGUCUGAUCCCAUGGUCAUGAUGAUGUGAUUGGACUUGUACACUAGAGACUGAGCCGGGAGGAAGAAUAAAUCCGUCCAAAGAGUUAAACAAUUACUACUCGCUACUUUAGCUUUGGGCCAAUUAAAAGCUCUGGUAUGAUUGUGAUGUAUUAUCACAGAAAUCUGACAUCCCUGCAUAAAUAGUUUUAUUUUUUUAUUUUUAGAACAAAAAGGCGUAUUAUUGCAGGUUAUUAUUAAAUUUCUAUUGUUUUCCGAGAACAAAAGGCGUUUGGAAAGAAAUUCCCAAAUUGUCCUGUUUUUUUUAGACAAUAAAGGCAUAUUUUCCAGAAUAAAAGGCAUAAUACGACGGGAAGAAAAUUGGAUUUUUGAAAUUCACUUAUUAAAAAUGACUUUAUUCACUUGUCUUUUGCUUUAGUAUCAUAGUAUUAUGACUUUAUUUAUCAUCAUUUUUAAAUACUGAGAAAAGCAGUGAAUCCCUGCUAUUGGCAGGGAUCGGCGCCGAGUCCUACUACAAAUACCGAAAAUCCAUGAGUGAUUGACACCCCCCUUUAAAGAUAUAUAAAUGACUAUAGAUACCACAAUAUAGUGACAAAGCACUACCUUUGUCUAAACGAAGCUUGACUCACUUGAUCAUAACAACCAGAAUAAAAGAUGUGGUAUUAAGAGAAUAAAGUUAUGUAUUUUUUUAAUUCACUUGUUUAAAAUUUCACUUAAUUUAAAGUGAACCCUGCGAAUAUUGAAAAUAAUAAACACCAUCACUAAACGGUUUAAAAUUGGCUAUAGAUGCCACGAGAUGGCAGCACAGCACUAAGUUUGUCAAAAUAAAGCUCCUCAACUCACUUCAACAUACAGGUAGUUCCUCCAUGAUGCCAGCAAAACCGUACUUGUACUGCUUUGGCCUUAGCACAAAGGUGAGCUUUUCAGCGAGGAUAGGUUCCCCCAAAAAUCUGCAAAUGCCAAACGGCGAACAUGCGAGGGUUCACCUUGGUCCUAUUUUUUAUUUUUAUUUUUGCAAAAGAGUAAUAUUACAAGAAUAAAGUUGUAUUUUUCAAAUUAACUUAUUAAAG